UGUGCAAGUCAUUGGGAUUAAUUUAUUAAACCCAAAGGCAUAAUUAACUUAAAUGUAAAAAUAUAAAUGGGAUAAAUUUUUAAUUUAUUUAUAGAUUAUUAAUUCAAUCCCGGGGCGUUCUAUAUAGUUAUGUAUAAUAAUAUUUAUAUUAUUUAUACCUCUAACUGGAGCGUACCUUGAGCAUUUAUGCUGUGACCCGAAAGAUGGUGAUCUAUACUUGAUCAGGUUGAAGUCAGGGGAAACCCUGAUGGAAGACCGAAACAGUUCUGACGUGCAAAUCGAUUGUCAGAAUUGAGUAUAGCUGCGUAAGACUCAUCGAACCAUCUAGUAGCUGGUUCCCUCCGAAGUUUCUCUCAGGAUAGCUGGUGCAUUUUAAUAUUAUAUAAAAUAUUCCUAUCUGGUAAAGCGAAUGAUUAGAGGCCUUAGGGUCGAAACGACCUUAACCUAUUCUCAAACUUUAAAUGGGUAAGAACCUCACCUUUCUUGAUAUGAAGGUUGAGGUUAUGAUAUAAUGUGCCCAGUGGGCCACUUUUGGUAAGCAGAACUGGCGCUGUGGGAUGAACCAAACGUUAUGUUACGGUGCCCAAAUUAACAACUCAUACAGAUACCAUGAAAGGCGUUAGUUGCUAAAAACAGCAUGACGGUGGACAUGGAAGUCGUAAUCCGCUAAGGAGUGUGUAACAACUCACAUGCCGAAGCAACUAGCCCUUAAAAUGGAUGGCGCUUAAGUUGUAUACCUAUACAUUACCGCUAAAGUAAAUGAUUUAUAUUCAAUUUCGGUUGAAUUUUAAAUUUUGAAACUUUAGUGAGUAGGAGGGUACAAUGGUGUGCUUAGAAGUGUUUGGCGUAAGCCUGCAUGGAGCCGCUAUUGGUACAGAUCUUGGUGGUAGUAGCAAAUAAUCGAAUGAGACCUUGGAGGACUGAAGUGGAGAAGGGUUUCGUGUGAACAGUGGUUGAUCACGAGUUAGUCGGUCCUAAGUUCAAGGCGAAAGCCGAAAAUUUUCAAGUUUAUACUAUAUAUAUAUAUAUAAUUUACAUUUAGAAUUUUAACACUUGAUUAUUUUUGAACGAAAGGGAAUACGGUUCCAAUUCCGUAACCUGUUGAGUAUCCGUUUGUUAUUAAAAAUGGGCCUUGUGCUCAUCCUGGUAACAGAAACGACCAUAAAGAAGCCGUCGAGAGAUAUCGGAAGAGUUUUCUUUUCUGUUUUAUAGUCGUACUACCAUGGAAGUCUUUCGAAGAGAGAUAUGGUAGAUGGACUAGAAGAGCAUGACAUUUACUGUUGUGUCGAUAUUUUCUCCUCGGACCUUGAAAAUUUAUGGUGGGGUCACGCAAACUUCUCAACAGUCCGUACCGAUAUCCGCAGCUGGUCUCCAAGGUGAAGAGUCUCUAGUCGAUAGAAUAAUGUAGGUAAGGGAAGUCGGCAAAUUAGAUCCGUAACUUCGGGA
rnacentral:rRNA from 1 species